rnacentral:lncRNA from 11 species
CAAGCCAGGUGUCACACAUAGAUGCAUGAUUUGGGGUGCACCCACAUUGUAGCAUUAAUGCAGUUUGACUAUACUUUAACUGCCGUGUCUCUAUUUUUGAAGAUCAUUUCAAGGGUGAGGUCAGUGGACUCCCUCAAUGGGAAAGACAAAUAACACGCCUUUAUAGGCUUCUUGUAAGGAAAACAGAUUUUCAAAGAGAAACAGCUGUGGAUCCAGGCAGAAGGCAGACUGCAUUGGAUAAUCCAGAACAUUGGAUGAGUGAAGGUUGGAUAAGUAAGACUCUACUCUACCUCUAUCUGUUGUCUGUCUUAUUGUUAUAAUCAGCAUUGAAUGUUUGCCG